rnacentral:lncRNA from 1 species
GCCUGGUGAUUACCUAAUCUGAGUACUUUGUUGCUCAGAAUUUUUAAUCUAAAUAAAUAAUAAUUAGAUCUAAAAAUAAACUAAUUUAGAUCUAAUAUAAAUCAUAAAUAAUCAAAUUUAAUAAUAAAAAAUUUAAUUUAAAAUCAUAUUAAUUCAUAUCAAAACAAUCUGGCUCUGAUACUAGUUGAAGAAAAAUUAUGGUAGUGCAGUGCAUGCA